rnacentral:rRNA from 1 species
GACAGAGGGUGCAAACGUUGUUCGGAAUUACUGGGCGUAAAGCGCGUGUAGGCUGCUCUGCAAGUCGGAUGUGAAAGCCCUGGGCUCAACCUAGGAAGUGCACUCGAAACUGCGGAGCUUGAGUCUCGGAGAGGAUCGCGGAAUUCCCGGUGUAGUGGUGAAAUGCGUAGAUAUCGGGAGGAACACCAGUGGCGAAGGCGGCUUCCUGGCCUGUUCUUGACGCUGAGGCGCGAAAGCUAGGGGAGCAAACGGG